GUCUACUUGGUGGUUGUCACCACAGCAAGACCACCCGUUAGGGGACUGGAGCUCAGAGGGUCCCUGGAGAACAGGACCAACGGUGUCUUUUCAUCAAAGAACGGCAGAACAGCGUCUUUUCACCAAAGAACAAACGACUGGGAGGUGGAGGCAGAUGCUCUGCGUUGGUCUCCUCAGUUACAGACUCGGAAGUUGAGGGCGACUUCGGAGUCACAGAUAUUCGUUGUCACCAAAGUUCCUUGUCUCAGCGACGAGGGGCUGCCUUAGACGUCAGGAUGAGGAGACUUCAAGCUGGGUCAUUCUAUCCUGGUAGAAGGGAAAUCCAGGUAUCGGGUCCUGCAGUGGUCAGCGCUGGCUCCGUCCGACUCCGUGCGAAUCGCCUUGGGUUUGUCCUUUUUGUCGCCGAGGCUCUGGAGAUGCUCAGACCGUAAGUGCCAGACUUACAGACUUGGAAAUUACGGGAGACUUCGGAGUCACAGAUAUUCGUUGUCACCAAGAUUGGGCGACCCGAAAAUAUUCACUUCAGAAUCCCAAGUUCCCAACUCCUUCGCGACUUCACUAAAGAAAGACCGAAUGACUCGAAGGGCAUCCCUGUCGCCUCUUCCGCUUCCCACUGAGGCAGAUAAAAAACGCCACGAAGCCCCGGGAUCCCCAAAACUUCUGGAACAGCUACAGUUUAAGCUGAGAGGAGCUUGGCAUCACUGAGACCCAGGACAGGCGUGGAUGAGCCGAGAGGACUCGUCCUUGAGACGUACUAGGGCGCGCUGGUCCUCCACUCUUUUCAACACGCAGUGACUCCACGGACCGCGAUAGUGUUCGGAGAGACCACCUCCCGCUGGCCCGGAGCAACGCAGAUCUUCUGGGAACAAAUACCCUGCCUCUCCUGAGCCACUAGUCUAGAAUCCCCGCCACUACCUAGCAGUCCAGUAGAGAGACUUGAUCUGGAGGCGGCCUGCCACCCUCCGCGUUAUCUGACUGUUUUUGGAGAAUGUAUUCUGAAAUUGAUUAAAAUUGGCAAGACUUCAAAUAGUCACUUGUGGGUAAGAGGGAGAAGUGGGUUGCAGAACUUCGUCGCGGCCAGAGGACCGCUAGCAGUUUGUGCGUCGACCCAGACCGAGUUGAGGAAUGAGUGAGUGCAAGGAGACAUCUGUUGCUCUCGUACGGAAUUUUUUUUCUGCUGCUAAAAACUUUCUGCUUCGAAUAAGGUGGUUUUUAAGUUUUUACAUCUUUAAAAAAAUCUUAAAAUUUCGAAAAACAAGACGAAACUCUUAGUUGUCAACUUUAUCAUCAAAUAUCUGUAGAGGUCGUAGGAGCAAGUUUCACAGGUGGCCGGUUAGCUCAGUUGGUUAGAGCGUGGUGCUAAUAACGCCAAGGUCGCGGGUUCGAUCCCCGUACGGGCCACACAUGUUUUAGCUACUCUGUUUUGCCUUUAAAAUAAAAGAUAAAGCGAAUGUGGCA
rnacentral:tRNA from 1 species